CUCCACUUCUCUGUGCCGACUCCCAAGCCUGGGCUCUUUCCACUGAGCCACGCUGCUUCUCAGUCUGGGAAGGCCUCCUGGAGGAGUGAGAACACACUAUCAGACAGCACCUAUGAGGCUCUCACUGUGUUCGGAGCACGGAACUCAGCACGAAGAAGGUUUUGGGAAAAAGAAACAAAGUUCCUACCUUCUGGGAGGUUCUCAUCUAAUGAAGAUGUAGGCAAAAAUCAAAUGGGAAUAGCACACA